GACGAACGCUGGCGGCGUGCUUAACACAUGCAAGUCGAACGGAAGGGCCCUGCUUUUGUGGGGUGCUCGAGUGGCGAACGGGUGAGUAACACGUGAGUAACCUGCCCUUGACUUUGGGAUAACUUCAGGAAACUGGGGCUAAUACCGGAUAGGAUCUCCUGCUGCAUGGUGGGGGUUGGAAAGUUUCGGCGGUUGGGGAUGGACUCGCGGCUUAUCAGCUUGUUGGUGGGGUAGUGGCUUACCAAGGCUUUGACGGGUAGCCGGCCUGAGAGGGUGACCGGCCACAUUGGGACUGAGAUACGGCCCAGACUCCUACGGGAGGCAGCAGUGGGGAAUAUUGCACAAUGGGCGGAAGCCUGAUGCAGCAACGCCGCGUGCGGGAUGACGGCCUUCGGGUUGUAAACCGCUUUCGCCUGUGACGAAGCGUGAGUGACGGUAAUGGGUAAAGAAGCACCGGCUAACUACGUG
rnacentral:rRNA from 1 species